GGCUAAAGAAGAAAAACGUGACAUCACAGCUAACAGCAUUAGCACCCCACAGAAUUCAACGUGUUUGGAGAGACGUGUGGUGCGCAGGAACAAACAUAUACAACAAUGUGCUGCACUCAGGAGAGGACAACAGUUUGCUUGAGCUGUCAAACAUGUUGGAUAACUUCUGUUGUCACUAUUUAUUUAUCCCAAGACUACAACUAAGUUUUCACACCAUCAGCAGUGGCUGAGAUGACCAUUCACUCAGAACUGAGAGGAAUCUGACACUUAUGGGAGAUGGGAAGCAUCCAGCAUGCUGUGGUAGAACCAGAAAUCACAGAGGGACUCUGCCUGCCUCAUAUUGACAGUGGACUGCUGGAUGACCCACACUGUGGGGUCACUAUUUCUGAAACUGGCAAUGUGUUGAGCCCUGAACAACUUGGUAGCACUGAGGGCAGCCAUGGAUGCACUGGGACAUUCUGAAUCGCACGGCUCAGAAUAUAUAUAUAUAUAUAUAUAUAUAUAUAUAUAUAUAUAUAUAUAUAUAUAUAUAUAUAUAUAUAUAUAUAUAUAUAUGUUGCUACUCUCCAGUAUGACCAACACUUUACGGGUUUAAUCUUAUUGUGGUUACCAUUGUUGCAAAAGGUUUUUAAGUAGUAAAAUCUAGCCAGGGAAAUGUAACUAAGUUAGUGCAUUCACUGAAUAAAAGUGUAGAACUGCUGGGAUUAUGAUGGUAAAUGUGUAUGGUACUGUAUAAAAAUUUUGAAAAUGCUGAGGUUA